rnacentral:ncRNA from 1 species
ACCAAGGAGUCUAACAUGUGCGCGAGCCGCGGGGCAGUACGAAACCCGUAAGGCGAAAUGAAGGUGAACGCCGGCGCGGUCCGGCGGAGGUUGGAUCCCGUCCCGUCGGGGCGGGCGCACUACCGGCCGAUCUUCUCCGCCCUGUCGGCGAGGUCGAGCGAGAGCGUGCAAGUCGGGACCCGAAAGAUGGUGAACUAUGCCUGAGGAGGUUGAAGCCAGAGGAAACUCUGGUGGAGGACCGUAGCGAUUCUGACGUGCAAAUCGAUCGUCAAAUUUGGGUUUAGGGGCGAAAGACUAAUCGAACCGUCUAGUAGCUGGUUCCCUUCGAAGUUUCCCUCAGGAUAGCUGGCGCUCUGUCGCAGUUUUAUCUGGGUAAGCGAAUGAUUAGAG